rnacentral:rRNA from 1 species
UGUGUAGGCGGCUACGCAAGUCGGAUGUGAAAUCCCUGGGCUCAACCCAGGAAGCGCACCCGAUACUGCACGGCUCGAGUACCGGAGAGGUUGGUGGAAUUCUCGGUGUAGAGGUGAAAUUCGUAGAUAUCGAGAGGAACACCGGUGGCGAAGGCGGCCAACUGGACGAGUACUGACGCUGAGACACGAAAGCGUGGGGAGCAAACAGGAUUAGAUACCCUGGUAGUCCACGCCGUAAACGAUGGGUGCUAGGUGUCACGGGCUUUGACUCCUGUGGUGCCGUAGCCAACGCAUUAAGCACCCCGCCUGGGAAGUACGGCCGCAAGGCUAAA